rnacentral:rRNA from 1 species
GUGGUAAUGCCGGAUGCUCCGGUUGGAUGCAUGUCCUUCCGGGAAAGGUUCCAUCGGUAUGGGAUGGGGUCGCGUCCUAUCAGCUUGAUGGCGGGGUAACGGCCCACCAUGGCUUCGACGGGUAGCCGGCCUGAGAGGGCGACCGGCCACAUUGGGACUGAGAUACGGCCCAGACUCCUACGGGAGGCAGCAGUGGGGAAUAUUGCACAAUGGGCGCAAGCCUGAUGCAGCGACGCCGCGUGCGGGAUGGAGGCCUUCGGGUUGUAAACCGCUUUUGAUCGGGAGCAAGCCCUUCGGGGUGAGUGUACCUUUCGAAUAAGCACCGGCUAACUACGUGCCAGCAGCCGCGGUAAUACGUAGGGUGCAAGCGUUAUCCGGAAUUAUUGGGCGUAAAGGGCUCGUAGGCGGUUCGUCGCGUCCGGUGUGAAAGCCCAUCGCUUAACGGUGGGUCUGCGCCGGGUACGGGCGGGCUGGAGUGCGGUAGGGGAGACUGGAAUUCCCGGUGUAACGGUGGAAUGUGUAGAUAUCGGGA